rnacentral:rRNA from 1 species
UACGUAGGGGGCAAGCGUUGUCCGGAUUUAUUGGGCGUAAAGAGCGUGUAGGCGGUUAGGUAGGUCCGUUGUGAAAACUCGAGGCUCAACCUCGAGACGCCGAUGGAAACCAUCUGACUAGAGUCCGGAAGAGGAGAGUGGAAUUCCUGGUGUAGCGGUGAAAUGCGCAGAUAUCAGGAAGAACAUCCGUGGCUAAGGCGGCUCUCUAGUACGUGACUGACGCUGAGACGCGAAAGCGUGGGGAGCGAACAGG